rnacentral:tRNA from 1 species
GGUGUGGCUCAAUGGUAGAGUGCUUGCCUAGCACGUGUGAGGCACUGGGUUCAACUCUCAGCACC